GGGGGGCGGGCUUACCAUGCAGUCGAGCGGGGAAGGUAGCUUGCUACCUGACCUAGCGGCGGACGGGUGAGUAAUGCUUAGGAAUCUGCCUAUUAGUGGGGGACAACAUCUCGAAAGGGAUGCUAAUACCGCAUACGUCCUACGGGAGAAAGCAGGGGACCUUCGGGCCUUGCGCUAAUAGAUGAGCCUAAGUCGGAUUAGCUAGUUGGUGGGGUAAAGGCCUACCAAGGCGACGAUCUGUAGCGGGUCUGAGAGGAUGAUCCGCCACACUGGGACUGAGACACGGCCCAGACUCCUACGGGAGGCAGCAGUGGGGAAUAUUGGACAAUGGGGGGAACCCUGAUCCAGCCAUGCCGCGUGUGUGAAGAAGGCCUUUUGGUUGUAAAGCACUUUAAGCGAGGAGGAGGCUACCGAGAUUAAUACUCUUGGAUAGUGGACGUUACUCGCAGAAUAAGCACCGGCUAACUCUGUGCCAGCAGCCGCGGUAAUACAGAGGGUGCAAGCGUUAAUCGGAUUUACUGGGCGUAAAGCGCGCGUAGGUGGCCAAUUAAGUCAAAUGUGAAAUCCCCGAGCUUAACUUGGGAAUUGCAUUCGAUACUGGUUGGCUAGAGUAUGGGAGAGGAUGGUAGAAUUCCAGGUGUAGCGGUGAAAUGCGUAGAGAUCUGGAGGAAUACCGAUGGCGAAGGCAGCCAUCUGGCCUAAUACUGACACUGAGGUGCGAAAGCAUGGGGAGCAAACAGGAUUAGAUACCCUGGUAGUCCAUGCCGUAAACGAUGUCUACUAGCCGUUGGGGCCUUUGAGGCUUUAGUGGCGCAGCUAACGCGAUAAGUAGACCGCCUGGGGAGUACGGUCGCAAGACUAAAACUCAAAUGAAUUGACGGGGGCCCGCACAAGCGGUGGAGCAUGUGGUUUAAU
rnacentral:rRNA from 1 species